rnacentral:rRNA from 1 species
UACGAAGGGGGCUAGCGUUGUUCGGAAUUACUGGGCGUAAAGCGCGCGCAGGUGGUCUUUCAAGUCAGUGGUGAAAGCCCGGAGCUCAAACUCCGGAAAUGCCAUUGAAACUGUAAGACUUGAGGAUGAGAGAGGUGAGUGGAAUUCCCAGUGUAGAGGUGAAAUUCGUAGAUAUUCGCAAGAACACCAGUGGCGAAGGCGGCUCACUGGCCCGGUACUGACGCUGAGGUGCGAAAGCGUGGGGAGCAAACAGG